rnacentral:rRNA from 1 species
UGUAGUCAUAUGCUUGUCUCAAAGAUUAAGCCAUGCAUGUCUAAGUAUAAGCAAUUAUACCGUGAAACUGCGAAUGGCUCAUUAAAUCAGUUAUCGUUUAUUUGAUAGUACCUUACUACAUGGAUAACCGUGGUAAUUCUAGAGCUAAUACAUGCUAAAAACCUCGACUUCGGAAGGGGUGUAUUUAUUAGAUAAAAAACCAAUGCCCUCCGGGGCUCCUUGGUGAUUCAUAAUAACUUCUCAGAUCGCAUGGCCUUGCGCCGGCGACGGUUCAUUCAAAUUUCUGCCCUAUCAACUCUCGAUGGUAAGGUAUUGGCUUACCAUGGUUUCAACGGGUAACGGGGAAUUAGGGUUCGAUUCCGGAGAGGGAGCCUGAGAAACGGCUACCACAUCCAAGGAAGGCAGCAGGCGCGCAAAUUACCCAAUCCCGAUACGGGGAGGUAGUGACAAUAAAUACUGAUACAGGGCUCUUUAGGGUCUUGUAAUUGGAAUGAGUACAAUUUAAACCUCUUAACGAGGAACAAUUGGAGGGCAAGUCUGGUAAUCG